AAGUCGUAACAAGGUUUCCGUAGGUGAACCUGCGGAAGGAUCAUUAACACGUAUCCAACGUAAACCCCCCUGUGAACAUUCAAACCUGCUCUCGUAGCCCAGUGCGAUCCAGCAAUCCCGGUAAAUCAUUGUCGAACAGUAUUGAUUCGGGACUUCUGACAAAUGAGAAGUUACAUGCAUGGCAUCCCGAAGCAGUCAGUGUCUGAAAGUGUCAUUGAUUGUCUAAGGAUCUCGCCUCAACGAUUGCCAGAGGUCGCUCACCGACCGGCAGACAUGCAACCGGGUCCCCACGCCCCUUUACAACCCCAUUACCUCUGUGAGUCGCGGGAAACUAGCGGCUAAAAAACCUCGAACAACUGUUAACAAUGGAUAUCUUGGUUCUC
rnacentral:misc_RNA from 1 species